GACGACGGUAGCGGCUGAGAGGGCGACCGGCCACCCUGGACUGAGACCCGCCCAGACUCCUACGGGAGGCAGCAGUGGGGAAUAUGCACAAUGGGGGAAACCUGAUGCAGCGACGCAGCGUGCGGGAUGACGGCCUUCGGGUUGUAAACCGCUUUCAGCAGGGAAGAAGCCCUUCGGGGUGACGGUACCUGCAGAAGAAGUACCGGCUAACUACGUGCCAGCAGCCGCGGUAAUACGUAGGGUACAAGCGUUGUCCGGAAUUAUUGGGCGUAAAGAGCUCGUAGGUGGUUGGUCACGUCUGCUGUGGAAACGCAACGCUUAACGUUGCGCGUGCAGUGGGUACGGGCUGACUAGAGUGCAGUAGGGGAGUCUGGAAUUCCUGGUGUAGCGGUGAAAUGCGCAGAUAUCAGGAGGAACACCGGUGGCGAAGGCGGGACUCUGGGCUGUAACUGACACUGAGGAGCGAAAGCAUGGGGAGCGAACAGGAUUAGAUACCCUGGUAGUCCAUGCCGUAAACGUUGGGCACUAGGUGUGGGGGACAUUCCACGUUCUCCGCGCCGUAGCUAACGCAUUAAGUGCCCCGCCUGGGGAGUACGGUCGCAAGGCUAAAACUCAAAGGAAUUGACGGGGGCCCGCACAAGCGGCGGAGCAUGCGGAUUAAUUCGAUGCAACGCGAAGAACCUUACCAAGGCUUGACAUACACCAGACCGUUCUGGAAACAGUUCCUCCCCUUUGGGGUUGGUGUACAGGUGGUGCAUGGUUGUCGUCAGCUCGUGUCGUGAGAUGUUGGGUUAAGUCCCGCAACGAGCGCAACCCUCGUUCUAUGUUGCCAGCACGUGAUGGUGGGAACUCAUAGGAGACUGCCGGGGUCAACUCGGAGGAAGGUGGGGAUGACGUCAAAUCAUCAUGCCCUUUAUGUCUUGGGCUUCACGCAUGCUACAAUGGCUGGUACAGAGAGAUGCGAGACCGCGAGGUUUUAGCGAAUCCCUUAAAGCCAGUCUCAGUUCGGAUCGUAGUCUGCAAUUCGACUACGUGAAGUCGGAGUCGCUAGUAAUCGCAGAUCAGCACGUGC
rnacentral:rRNA from 1 species